UAUAAAAUAAUAAAAAUAUUAUAAUGCAGCAGAAGAAAUAAAAAUAAAAGUGAAAUAAUGAUUUAGUGUGUUGAUCGGUAUUUACGGUCGCAAUCGAAGCUGAAAAUGUUACUGUAUUGUUACGAUUACAAGAUCAUGCAUGUAGUUCGAAAUAGAAAUUACCUACGCGAAAGUUCUGCUAAUGUGUGUUCUCCAAGAUGAUAGAAACUUGGGUCUAGCCGCAGCGGCUGCAGACAACGCUGACACGCGAAACUCACAUUACUUUUCAUAUCUACCAUUUUGACGUUUCGUUACUGAACAGUAACUUUACACUGGAUGCAAUCGUACGCUACGUUAUUUAUAAAUACGCAUUUGACGCUUCGAACACAAGAACAGCUGAGUUUGUUUUCAUAAUCUACCGUAAGAGGGCGAAAAUAAGCAACAGUCAGGUCGCAGCGCGCUACGUUAGCGAGAUUGGCUGACGAUUCAAUGAUAAGACAGAAUUCGUCGUGGUUUGAAUGCGCAGUGAAAUGGUGGAGAUGCUUGCAAAAACUAACGUACAUAGAAGAAUCAUGAAAAGCCUGAAGUAUUGUUGUACUCGGGACACAAAUCAGAGGUGUGACAAAAGGAACAAGCACUUCUACCGUUUUCUGUCUAAAAAUUUAUAUCAUCUACACCAGCGCAGUGGUUAUUUGCGUCCUCUAUCGAAAUAGAACAGUCAGCCAGUGAACUACAUAAGACUGCACACAGAAAGUUAGUGUAGUAAGCAUUUUUAUCCUCCAUUUUUAAUGCGUAUCCAGGCCCACCCAGUGGGCUCUAUGUGGUUUCAGUAUCGCUAUAUUAUCAGAUAUCGGCAUCAUACUGGUAUUAGCCAAACCGUUAUUAGUGUGGAAGUGCGAGGUUACCGACUUCGGAGAGUCCUCCGAAAUCACACAACUGAUCGGCGUUAUAUGGUCUCGAUACAACUGGUCGCGACAUAAACAUCGCGACGUGUAGGACGAUCGAUGGAUGUUAAAUGCUGGUCGAGCAAAGAGGCCAAAUUCGAAGAAAGACUCAUAACGGUUGAUCACGAUUACGUUUUACGAUACGGAUAACGAUAGGGAAUUAUAUUAUAUCGAAUAUGGUUACGUCGACGUACGGUUACGACGAUUAUUGUAUAUUGCUUUACUUACUCUUUGUAUUGCAUUUUGCGUGUAUCACUGAUUAGUAAUAAAUAGAAUAGUUACCAAAACAUGCUAUCUUUACAUAAGAGAUAAUAGAUAAUAGAUAAUGGAUAAUGGACGAUUGUAAGAGCCUAAAGUUGUCGACCGGAGCAUGAUUUCGGAACAACCUCCGAAAUCACAAUAUCGAUCGGUGCUCGUGUCACGCGUAUGCCAUGAUUAGAAGUCGAGACCUCUUACAAGAGAUUCUCCAUACUAUUUCGCUUUCAAUGAUCGAUAAUCUGUCGAUGAAGGUUUUGCAAAAAAGCUCACGCACAAUUAAGAGUGAAGACGUGCGGUAGCAACGCCUGAAUAAAACUUUUAUUAGACUGA